UCUUGGAGUUCUAGCUCACUUUUUUGGUGUUGUUCUUGUACUCAUCUGUUUAAUUUAGUUCUGCCACUUCUUCUUGAACUUCUUGUUAGAUUUCAAGUCUGUAUUUUGUGUCCGUGACAAUAUGAUGAAUGUUAAAUAGUUGCAACACAUUUAGUAAACAAUUUAAUGAUAGGCAACUAAUUGUUUUACUACCCUCAAAUAUUGGUAUUAGGAGUUCAAAAGUGAGGAUUUAAUGUCUCAAAAAACAAAACAAACAAAUUAUUUUUGGACAAUUAGACGAGAUUAAAGGUUUAUUAAAAAGUUCUGGUGUUGGGAGCCAUUCUGUUCAUCCAGUACCAGGUGGGCACCUACACCACAACGGCCGUUGCCCUCACUCUGCAUAUGCGGUUGUUUUCGAAGCAGGCGGCGGACAUUCCAUCGCAAAAUUGAGUUACGACUCGAAAGGAGAGCACUCGCUAUUUUUCAUACCAAACACUGUGCAGCAUACCUCCUACUGUGUGCAUAGCAUUCGAGCUGCAAAGCCUGGCGGGUCCCAAAUCUGGUCCCUACAGUUUUAGUGACAAAACACUGACACCGAGAUCGCCGCAAUAGCUCUCGUCCACCCCGCUGCGAGAAAUGCUGCAAUCAGUUUCGACCCAUUCUUCACAGCCGCGCUGCAAUCCGUCGGCAGGGUUUGAAUGUUUAAUGCUGCAUCAGAAUCAUUGGCGGCGUUUGGACUAGACCUUGCACCAUUUGAAAAGCUGUUCCCAAUCAAGACUUUGAAGCGCCAAGUUCAACAAAAUCAUAAACAUAUUCAAAUCUGUGGGGUCUUCCACCCCGCCAUAACAUCUUCAUCUAUUCCUCCUAUUGGAUCUUCAAUUAUGAAUGAGGUGUUUUUAAGAGUUUAGACUUCGGUUCUUGUCUGCAUGAAAUAUUCAUUUAAAGAGUUACUAUGAUUUUAUUCC